rnacentral:tRNA from 1 species
GCCGGUGUAGCUCAGUUGGCUAGAGCAGCUGAUUUGUAAUCAGCAGGUCGGGGGUUCGAAUCCCUCCACCGGCUC